UACGUAGGGGGCAAGCGUUGUCCGGAAUCAUUGGGCGUAAAGAGCGUGUAGGCGGCCCGAUAAGUCAGCUGUGAAAGUCCAGGGCUCAACCCUGGGAUGCCGGUGGAUACUGUCGGGCUCGAGUCCGGAAGAGGAGUGUGGAAUUCCUGGUGUAGCGGUGAAAUGCGCAGAUAUCAGGAAGAACACCAACGGCGAAGGCAGCUCGCUAGGACGGUACUGACGCUGAGACGCGAAAGCGUGGGGAGCGAACAGG
rnacentral:rRNA from 1 species